AACGUGGUGCGUGUGUGCAGCUGAAGUUUCUGUUUGAUUUCUCCCGCUCUUCACAGCAGAGUUAAGACGUUCGCCGUUGAUCUGACAGACUGCAUUCAGUAAGAGGAGAAAAUGAAGAGGAAGAGUCCUUCGCUAAGAUCCAACGGUGGGCAAGAAGAGGAGGAAGGACAAAGUGGUGACAGAAAACACAGUCUAAGAAAAACUAAGCGUGUCGUCUACUGUUAUCAUGAAGACAAAGAUGAAGAGGAAAAUCACAACCAGAUCCCACCAGACAACUGGGAUAAAGAUAUAGAACUGUGGCCUGUAACCUGUGGGACCAAAUCGGGGCUGAUGGACGUCCAAAAGCUGGAGAAAAGUAAGAAGUGUAUUGAGUGUCAGGGCCGCCAGUUCACCCCACCUGCCUUUGAGGAAUUUGCAGGCAAAGGCUCAUCUAAAAAAUGGAAAGCAACUAUUUACUCUGGCGGAAAGCCUCUCCAACAUUGGUUUGAUGAAGGCCUCCUGAAAACCAAAGGAUAUAAAAAAAAGACCCCCAUCGAAGAAUCCGAAGAAGAGUUUACAGAAGAUUCUGAGGAAGGAGAUGCUAGUCAGAAACAUUCAGGCAGUAAAAACUGGUUCUCGAGGACCGAGCAAGAGAAAGGGAGGGUAGAUGAUAGAAACAAUGGUGAUUUUGUGGAUUCGGACCAUCCAGAGGAAAAACAAGAUGAUAAACUUGAUCAGGAUGAAAUAGAAGAUGAUGGGGAUGUGCUUGAUAACCCUGAAGGCCUCUGUUCUCCUAAAGGUGAUGCUUUGUACCCCAAUAACGAUUCAAAUAAGUCUCUCCUCCAGUCCAGUUUGUAUCAUAUUGUAAUUGCUAACCAAGAAUGGAUUUGUGAAUACACCCCUUUCAGAAACGGAUCCAACAUUGAUGAUUUCAGCACUUCAGAAACAUGCAUGUCAGGUGAAAGUGCAAGUUAACCUCAGAAGGAUGCCAAUGGAGACAAGGAGUGACUUUCAGACCCCGUCUGAGGAACGUCCACUAGAAGAUGAGGAAAAAAGAGAAGGAAAUUCAGAGAGGAAGUGUUGUGAAAAGGAAACAGGCAGUGAGAUGGAAGAGCUUCCAGAAGUAUUCGUACCUGAAGACAGUGAGGACCCAAUAGAAACUGAAACGGUAGACGAGGACACUAACACUUCUCCCCAACACCAAGACCAAGAACAACACGCCGAGGAACAAUACCAUAAACAUUUGAGGAUUUCUGGUGUGCCUUUGAGCAUGCCUGGUCAGAGCAAAUGGAACAACCCCACUGAUGUAAGCAGCUCAGACCAAAUCGAAUACCAAACGGUGCCGGAGACAAGAAGCAUCGCUGGGUCAGACUGCACACAUCUCUCAGACAAGCUGGAGACCUCAGCCUCAGGGGUCUUAGCUGGUUCUGAUGUGGACACAAUGGAUUUGGAUCAACUGCACAGAGAAGCACUAAAAACGCAGCUGGAACUUUUAAGACUACAAAAGGAAUACUAUGCUUUAAAGUUACAGAAAUUAAAAAGUUAAAUUUACAACUUAUCGUCUCAGUACAAUGGGAGGAUCAAUAGGACGUGAUGGACACUGCAACUUUAAUGAACUCUGCAUGGGAUGUCACAUUUUCCAUAACAAGACAUUAGAAAGAUUUGGGAACUUGAUUGUUUCAGGAUACAGUAUGUUAAUGAAAUAUUUUAAUUUAUAUAAUAUAUGGAAUGAAGCUAGAAUUUUAAGAAACCGGUGAUGUUAUAGCAAAUGAAAAUGAAUAUCUUUAUUUCCACUUUCCCUGAAUAGUUUUAUUGGCAGGAAGACACGAUGGCAUGAUAAAAUAACACCGGCAUAACCUCAGUAUGUAUGUCACGAUGUAGCGUACAAAACUUGAUCAGCACAUAGGAUAGGAUUGGUUUUCCUUGUCAUGCAAACAUUUCACAAAGCUACAAUGGUGGAGUGCAUUGAAGCAUCAUAAAAACUAUAAGAGAACCCAAAUAUAAAGGAUAUUGUUGUAAAGUAAGAAAGAAACAUGAGCCAAAUCUUUACCUAAAGUGCCAAAAUUGAUUACUAUACUGACAGUUGACCAUUUAGAAAAGCUGCCAAAAAUUGCUUGGACAGUUCUAAAAAAAGUCUCACAUACAAUUUUAUUUGUAUUUGUGCAAAUGUGUCUCUCUCUAGGCCCAGUACCGGGUCGAUCGCGUUUGGGUAAUAGUCAAAAUGCUUGGUGGCACUCAGAGAGAGUUAUAUUUGCAUCCCCAGCUGGUCAGUUGAUCCUUUAAAUAUAAAAAACUAAAGAAAACUGUUGGAUUUUAUUUCCUCACAUUUAGACCCACAUUGGGUUUUUAAAAACACGGCAAUAGACGGCAAGAUAGGUGCUUUGCCUUUAUUGCCAAAUGCAUGUGUUGUGUAUAUGUGUAAAAUCCAACUGUAUUAAAAAAGUACAUUAAUAGCAAAACUAGGUGGAUUUUAUGAUUAAAUGAUAGGAACUUCAUUUAGCCAUGCUAAUUUAAAGUUUGCUGUAUGGCUUCAUCAGCCACUCACAUUGUUGUUUCUGAGUUUCCACAAUUUAUUUUUAAAUAAAACCUUUAUUUCAGAUUCUGAAAUAAAAAAAAUAUCAUAACAACAUAUAUAUCUAAACGUCAGAAGGGUUAGGUUAAUGCCCAUUUGCUGUAUUUAUUGUAUUAAGUGGUUUUCAUUUUAUGUUUUUUUUAUUGAAUGGCUGAAUAAUUUCUUAAUGUGUGAAUGAUUUGCAGGGUUUUCUGGUACAAAAAAAUCCUAAACACUGUAUAUUAGAAUUUUUUUUUUAAAUAUAAUAGCAAUAUAUUAAAUGAACAAAGUGUUUAGAUUUUUUUUUCACUCUACAAAUGGAGAAAUUGGAACCUAAACUCAGGCAAUACAGACUUACAAUAAUAUCAAUGGUCAUGAACUUCAGGCAGCUACAACACCAUUGCAUUUUUGGUUCAUAUUUUGUUUCAAUGCAGUGAAUAUUGUAUAUUUCAUGGAUGAAAUGACUUGAAUCUAUUUUUUUUCUUACUAUGUAUUUCUGCUAUGAUUGUCAGAGUUGUGUUACAAGAUGAUUUUCAAUGCAAAAAGAUUAUAGAUUUUUUUUUUUUUAUGUUUCAAAGUAGAAAUAAAAGCUAUAAAACGUCUAAAACCUUUUCAUAAGAUGUCAGUUGGCCUCUGACCCCUGAUGUUUUCUAAAGCUGUCCUACAAUAAGCCAUACAAAAACAAAAUUAUAAAUGUUUUAGAAAAAAAAAACCUUCCCAACUUUAAUGACGCAUCAUAAGCCUUUUUCAGAAAAGGGGGAACAAAUCCCAACAAACAGAAAAGCAGUAAAAGCAAAAACACUGCCAUUCAAAAUGCAGUUUUUAUUUAUAUUUUAUCAUGUUACAAACACAAACUUUAACAGAUUUUGAGAUUUUAUGAGACAGGACCACUUUAGAAAGGAAGGAAAACCAAAUAUGAUUGCCAACAACUUCUGUGAAUA